GGGGGAAACCCUGAUCCAGCCAUGCCGCGUGUGUGAUGAAGGCCUUCGGGUUGUAAAGCACUUUCGCACGUGACGAUGAUGACUGGUAACGUGAGAAGAAGCCCCGGCUAACUUCGUGCCAGCAGCCGCGGUAAUACGAAGGGGGCAAGCGUUGUUCGGAAUUACUGGGCGUAAAGGGCGCGUAGGCGGUGCACUAAGUCAGGCGCGAAAGCCCUGGGCUCAACCCGGGAAUUGCGUUUGAUACUGGUGCGCUUGAAUCCAGGAGAGGUUGGUGGAAUUCCCAGUGUAGAGGUGAAAUUCGUAGAGAUUGGGAAGAACACCGGUGGCGAAGGCGGCCAACUGGACUGGUAUUGACGCUGAGGCGCGAAAGCGUGGGGAGCAAACAGGAUUAGAUACCCUGGUAGUCCACGCUGUAAACGAUGUGUGCUAGCCGUUGGGGCUCUUAGAGCC
rnacentral:rRNA from 1 species